rnacentral:rRNA from 1 species
GGACGAACGCUGGCGGCGUGCUUAACACAUGCAAGUCGAACGAUGAAGCCUUAGCUUGCUUUGGUGGAUUAGUGGCGAACGGGUGAGUAACACGUGAGCAACGUGCCCAGGACUCUGGAAUAACCGCGGGAAACCGUGGCUAAUACCGGAUAGGUGCCGAGGCCGCAUGGUCUUCGGUUGGAAAGUUUUUGCGGUUCUGGAUCGGCUCACGGCCUAUCAGCUUGUUGGUGGGGUAAUGGCCUACCAAGGCGACGACGGGUAGCCGGCCUGAGAGGGUGACCGGCCACACUGGGACUGAGACACGGCCCAGACUCCUACGGGAGGCAGCAGUGGGGAAUAUUGCACAAUGGGCGCAAGCCUGAUGCAGCAACGCCGCGUGGGGGAUGACGGCCUUCGGGUUGUAAACCUCUUUUAGUAGGGAAGAAGCGCAAGUGACGGUACCUGCAGAAAAAGCACCGGCUAACUACGU